UGUGGGCUGCCCUGUCUCUGACUCUCGUUGGCCGUGUGCACAUUGCGAAGCAGGUGUUGGCGGCGAAGCUGGCCUACCACUUCAGCUUCCUCAACCCGUCGCCGGCGCAGCUGAAGGAACUCACCGACCUGGUGGACCACUUUGCUGCGCGCUCCAUGCACGCUGAGGACGCCAGCCUGGUGUCACACGGGAACCCGCUCCUGCUGCCAAAGCGGGAAACGGCCUGUCUGCCGUACAAGGA
rnacentral:lncRNA from 1 species